rnacentral:rRNA from 1 species
UACGGGGGGGGCAAGCGUUGUUCGGAAUUACUGGGCGUAAAGCGCACGUAGGCGGCUUUGUAAGUUAGAGGUGAAAGCCCGGGGCUCAACCCCGGAAUUGCCUUUAAGACUGCAUCGCUUGAAUCCGGGAGAGGUGAGUGGAAUUCCGAGUGUAGAGGUGAAAUUCGUAGAUAUUCGCAAGAACACCAGUGGCGAAGGCGGCUCACUGGCCCGAUACUGACGCUGAGGUGCGAAAGCGUGGGGAGCAAACAGG